UGUCACGUCCGCGACGUUGCGAGUAUAAAUUUUUUCGACACCGGUAUAAAACAGACGGGCAAGCCGGCAUUCGCUAACAAAUCUAACUGUCAGGGCCCCGAUUCUCUAACUCACUCGUAACUUUGCGUAUACGCAACUUACGAGUGGUUGAAAUGCGUAUACGUUUACUAUUCGAUCACCGAUGCGUAUUCUGUAACACAAUUUACGGUCGUUCGUAUUUAGAUACGUGUACGUAUCUUUUGUACGAAUGCAAUACGCGGCAACACUGGAUUGGUGUACUAUCCAGUACUAUCUUUAUUAAAAACAUGGCGUAGUUGCCAGUAACACGUGCUUUAUUUUUCAACGCUUAUUUUGCGUAAUAAUUUUGUAUGUUGAUUAAAAAAAAAAAAACGAAAAUGGAUGCAAGAAAACGUUGUGCGAAUGUAACAGAAGAACAAAAAACGCUAUUAUUACAAUUUAUGGAAAAAAAUCCGCGUUUGAUGUCCGGUAAAUUUUUUGCUGAUUUUACAUUUAAAGAUGCAACUAUUUUGUGGCAAAAGCUUGCAGAUAUCUUAAAUAGUUGCAAUGGUGUAAGCAAGGAUUGGAAAUCUUGGCGAAAGUGCUGGCAAGAUUUGCGAUCACGUAGUGAAUCAAAACAAAGCAAAAUAAAUGCA
rnacentral:lncRNA from 13 species